AUUGAACGCUGGCGGCAGGCCUAACACAUGCAAGUCGAACGAGUGGCGGACGGGUGUGUAAUGUCUGGGAAACUGCCUGAUGGUGGGGGAUAACUACUGGAAACGGUAGCUAAUACCGCAUACCAUCAGAUGUGCCCAGAUGGGAUUAGCUUGUUGGUGGGGUAACGGGUCACCAAGGCGACGAUCCCUAGCUGGGCUGAGAGGAUGACCAGCCGAACGGGAACUGAGGCACGGUCAAGACGCCUACGGUGGGGAGCAGGGGGGAAUAUUGCACAAUGGGGGAAAGCCUGAUACAGCCAUGCCGGGUGUAUGAAGAGGGCCUUCGGGUUGUAAAGUAGUGGCAGCGGGGAGGCGUUACCCGCAGAAGAAGCACCGGCUAACUCCGGGCCAGCAGCCGCGGUAAUUC
rnacentral:rRNA from 1 species